rfam:Salmo salar isolate Sally breed double haploid chromosome ssa20, whole genome shotgun sequence.
UGGCUCAGUUGGUAGAGUGUGGUGUUUGCAACGCCAGGGUUGUGGGUUCGAUUCCCAU